rnacentral:ncRNA from 1 species
UGCCACAACGGCUUCCUGGCGUGGCAAAUUUCAAUCACUGGAGCG